CUGGUUGAUCCUGCCAGUAGUCAUAUGCUUGUCUUCCAAGAUUAAGCCAUGCAUGUCUAAGUAUAAGCAUUUAUACAGCGAAACUGCGAAUGGCUCAUUAAAUCAGUUAUAGUUUAUUUGAUAGUACCUUACUACUUGGAUAACCGUAGUAAUUCUAGAGCUAAUACAUGCUAAAAGCCCAAACUUUUCGGGAUGGGUGCAUUUAUUAGAUAAAAAACCAAUGCAUGGGGGCAACUUCAUGGUAAAACUGGUGAUUCAUGAUAACUUUGCGAAUCGCAUAGCCUUGAGCUGGCGAUAAUUCAUUCAAAUUUCUGCCCUAUCAACUUUCGAUGGUAGUGUAGUGGACUACCAUGGUGAUAACGGGUAACGGAGAAUUAGGGUUCGAUUCCGGAGACGGUGCCUGAGAGAUGGCAACGACUUCCAAGGAAGGCAGCAGGCGCGCAAAUUACCCAAUCUCAAUACGAGGAGGUAGUGACAAUACAUAACAAUACAGGACUUGAAUAAAGUCUUGUAAUUGGAAUGAGUACAAUUUAAACCCCUUAACAAGGAACAAUUGGAGGGAAAGUCUGGUGCCA
rnacentral:rRNA from 1 species